AUUAGCUUCUUGUUCACUGCUAAUAAACAAAAGAAGAAGCAGCAGCUAAUCUUAGAACUUCGACAGUGUUUCAUGUGUGAGAAACCGUUAAUGCCUGCUGAGAACUGAAGGUAACCACACCGACCCAGGACCACCGGAUCCAGCAUCUUCACCUCCAAAAUCCUCUUGAUCAGCCACCUGGACAGCUACUGCAAAAAAUCAAUCAGCAAAAAAAAAAGGCUCACCUCUCAAUCCGUGUGGAAGUGAGCAAUCUCCCUCUUGCAGCGAAAGGCCACCCAUCACAUGGUUGGGCUCAAGUGGACAGCACCAAGGAGCCUGUUUCCGUUUGAGAUGCUAUUAAUAAGAAUCGGUAAGCGGUAAGAGAGGAUUUAAGUUGAAGCAGGAAAUCACAACAUCAGGAGACGACUACAAGAAGCCCUCGCUACAGCAGGUUAUUAUAACAAGGUAAAAACCAAGCAGAUAUAUUCAAAAGUAUCAGUGGCAUCACGUGGCCUACAGUACUACGGGACAUUCACAUGUCAACAAAGGUGGCACGCUGAUAAAAUUAAGUUGAAUAAGUGCUAAGGGGUGAUAAUGGAAAAAUCAGUUUAUACGUCUAUUGUUUAAAAGAACUUCCUGUAUAUCUUGUGAACUGAUGGACCGCAGUGCCAUUUUUUAUGAGGUACAUUCAUAAAAACAUCAGCCCUCUGGCCUAAUAAGUUCAAGUAGAAGCCAUAUUUUUUAAUGUGUGAACAAGGUACCCAAAGCGUGUCUCCGUAUGGAGCUAAAUUUCCCUCAA